rnacentral:rRNA from 1 species
CGGGUGAGUAACGCGUGGGUAACCUGCCUCAUACAGGGGGAUAACAGUUGGAAACGGCUGCUAAUACCGCAUAAGCGCACAGUGCUGCAUGGCACAGUGUGAAAAACUCCGGUGGUAUGAGAUGGACCCGCGUCUGAUUAGCUAGUUGGUGGGGUAACGGCCUACCAAGGCGACGAUCAGUAGCCGGCCUGAGAGGGUGAACGGCCACAUUGGGACUGAGACACGGCCCAA